AUCUAAACAUACGUCAUGUUCUCUUUUCUUUAUUUGUGAGAAAACCAUCUUCCUGUUUGGCCUCAAAACCAGAUUUCCUCCUUGCUCCGUUCACCGGAGUUACCAAAAGAACGACGCGCCCCUGUGAACCAAGAGAGAUAGAGAGGCUAAGAGAGAGAAAGUGCAUAUACAGAGAAAGACACAGGGAGAUAGAGAGGCAUAGGGUGGAGGUACGCGGCGGCGUUUAGGGUUCUGAUGAGGUCAGUUGAUUCGGACCAAGAAACAUCUCCGUUGACUCAGUAUAGGGUUCUGACGGUAGUUGUGACAAAAAACUGGGCAACUGCAUCAACAGAAACAGAUUACGGCGAAGACUAGGGUUCCAAAAAAGAUCCGGUAAAUUCCCCCCCCCCCCCCCCCCCGCAUGCUCCUUUUCGGUUAGAUCGACGUUCAAUGAUGUCUUAUCGGUUGAAUUUUGUUGGACCGACGAAUAUGCGACUUUCGGUUAAACUCCGAUAUGCGGUGUGCUCUCCUCCUCCCAUAACGAAGAUGUCACUUUGAGGCCUUGUACGGCGGUAGUGUAGCUGCAACAUCCGCUGGAGCAUUCUUGGGGUAGUUCGCGCCUUCUUCCACCGUUGAAGAGUUAUGGAGACUUUUACUUGAUGAAUGGAGAAGCUGGAUAGAAAGUCUUUUGAAUGCUACAGGACAAUGAACAAUUCGUCGUUCGUCAGUUAGACGUGCAUCUUUUGCACAACUUACCUACAUAAGGCUAACUCCAAUGCGCCUGUUGGUGGUGAAUCCUUUAAAAUCCUUAAUAGCCCUUAGCAAUGUGAAAGUGUGUCCAUACAUGUCUGUGGCAAAAAAAGCCCUUCUGCAAGGGCGUUUAUUUUUCUUGGAUUUUACAUAUGAGUGGAAGCAGUCUCUCUAUUGUUGGAAGCAGUCUCUUACCCUCCUCAGACCCUACGUUAGCUUUGCUAUUGUUGGGAUUUACUGAGUAUGAUGAUGAUGAUGAUAUGAGUGGACCCAAAGUAAAAAAAUAAAAAAAAGGUUUUGUUUAAAUAUUGUGUGUAGUGAGUAGGUGAUGAGGUGGAAAUUAAUUAAGGUAAAGAUAUUUGUAGGGUUGUAGAUGAAAUGAGGGUUUGUAAGGAUUUGUAGGAUAUGAUGUGACAGAUGACGUGGCAGCUAAGGACGCAUAAGGGCGCACAUAACAUUGGAGAUAGUCUAACACUGUGUUUUUUUUUAACAGCAACACACUUUAUAUAUAAAUAUAAAGAGCCAGCAAGAGGCUGGGAACAAACAAAAAGAACAAAGCAACAAAAACAAGAACAGGGACAAAGAAAAACAACAUUACAAAAGGUCUACGACAUUAAAUCCCAGCCAAUUCUCACAGCUUAUUUUCAGCAACUUAGUCCGAUGCGUCAGCCAUAGGAAGACAUCCUAAGUUGUGAUGAAUUUUAUGCGAAGUUGUGAUGAACUUUAAAUCGUACAACAUUUUGUAUAGCUUCAUAUUGUACGUCUUUCAUAUAUACGUUAGGCGAUGUAACUAUGCAACAUUGGUGUAAAUAUUUGGGUUUUAUUUA